UACGGGGGGAGCAAGCGUUGUUCGGAUUUACUGGGCGUAAAGGGCGCGUAGGCGGCCACCGCAAGUCGACUGUGAAAUCUCCGGGCUUAACCCGGAACGGUCAGCCGAUACUGCGGGGCUAGAGUGCAGAAGGGGCAACUGGAAUUCCAAGUGUAGCGGUGAAAUGCGUAGAGAUUUGGAGGAACACCAGUGGCGAAGGCGACUUUCUGGUCUGUAACUGACACUGAGGCGCGAAAGCGUGGGGAGCAAACAGG
rnacentral:rRNA from 1 species